CACCGCGGUUAUACGAAGGGCCUAAAAUAACAAUAUUCGGCGUAAAGCGUGGCCAGAGACAUAAACCUGAGACCGGAAUAAUAGUAUAGAUGUAAAACUCACACCCUAUAAAGAAAAACGAACAGUCUCACUAUACACCUUGACCCACGAAAGCUAAGAAA
rnacentral:rRNA from 1 species